AAGAUCACACCACUGCACUCCAGCCUGGGCGACAGAGUGAGACUCUUUCUCCAAAAAAAAAAGGAGUGAGGCACACAAGCGACACCCCUGCAGUCACUGCAUUUUUACUAAAAAUGGUAAUUAAUGAGUUUAAAGUGACAUGCAAGAGGUUAUGCUCCGGAUCAGGGUUCAGGAAAGAUGAUACUUGGUAAUUGCCUAAAUAGCGUAUUUUCCCUCAGUGAUGUGGAACCACAUGCUGUUGGUAAAUGGGAGGCAAACGAAUGAGCUCAGGGCAUAAACAUUUUCAAUUUCCCAAAUUCCUCACAUUCUGAGUUAGAGAAUUUUUUUAAAGUGUGGUUUAUAGACAUCCAAAAUCUCCGGAGCCUCACAGUCCCCGAUGUGGGAUAGACCAGAGAGCUGGGGAACGGGAGCCCGCCUGAGAUGGAGGAUCCAGGCCCCUCGGGGCGUCCCCACGUCAGAUCCCUGGGGUCAAGCCUGUCCCCAGGAUGACUCCCCAGGUUUUGACCUGAUCGCUGCACCCAUGAGGCUCCCGGUGUCCGGACACGGAGGCAGGCUUGGGAUGACUGCAACCUGCUCUCAUGAGUCACAGCAGGUGCCUGUCGAGACCCACACGGACCCGGGCGGGCAGGACCUCGGAUGCUGACUCCCUGUGGGGUCAGGACCUCCUUCCUCCAGGUUCUGCCGUCUGAGGCCGCAGCCUGCUCCUCCCCGGCCUGCUUCUCAUCCAGGGCACGCCGGCUGCCCCCCACUAGCUGCUUAUCCCAGAGCCCGGGAGUCAGUCCCACUCCCCAGAUUCUGCGCCUGGUCUUGUCCACUCCAUCAUCGCAUCUUGUCAGCUCUGUUUCCAAAAGGAUGCCUUGACUUUACCCACAUCUCUCUGCCCCACUCCCACCUCCACUUCCCUGGUCCAAGCCGCCAUCACUCGUGGCUGGAUGUCCUCAAAGGCGUCUCAGCUCGACUUCCAGGGUUGCUGCCCUCCACCCCGGGAACUGAGGAUCUAUAGCGCAGCCACAGCAAUCUUCUGGCAGUGUCCAUUGGCGAAUGCAUCCGGGCUUCCCGUUACCCUCUGAGUCCACUCCAGCCUCCUUCCUGUGCUCUGUGGAGCUGCUUGUGCCUGGCCCCUGUGCACCCCCAGCCCCUUCUCAGCCUCCCCCUUUGCCUACUGCUUUGGUCAUGCCAGCUUUGACAGUUCUCAUAAGCACCAGGCUCAUUCUUGCCAUGGGGAAUGCGAAGAUCUGUUCAUCCAGCACACUCUUUUUUUUUUUUUUUUUUUUGAGAUGGAGUCUCGCUGGAGUGUGCAGUGGUGCAGUCUCGGCUCACUGCAACCUUCACCUUCCAGGUUCAAGCAAUCCUCUGACCCCAGCCUCCUGAGCAGAGCAGCUAGGAUUACAGGCAUGCAGCACCACACCCGGCUAAUUUUUUUGUAUUUUUAAUAGAGAUGGGGUUUCACCAUGUUGGCCAGGCUGGUCUCAAACUCCUGACCUCAAGUACAGGUGUGAGCCACCGCGCCCGGCCAGCACACUCUUUCUUCAGAUCUUUGCAUGCCCAGGCUCAACUCAAAUAUUAUCUGUUCAGCAGAGUCUUCCCUGGCCCUCAAACUGCAGUAACACUUCCCUUCGCCCAAGUCACGAACACCAAGCUGUGCUUCUUUCUCCUUUUUUCCUUUCCUUUCCUUUCUUUUCCUUUCCU
rnacentral:lncRNA from 1 species